rnacentral:tRNA from 1 species
GACUUAAUUGGAUUGAGCCUUGGUAUUAAUCCGUCGAUUUCAAAAAUCAUGAGGGUUCAAGUCCCUCUAUCCCCA